GCAUGAUUCGAAUGAUCUAAUCAGGGUUGACAGUUUAACCCUGAGUCGUCCUAAACAUAGGGGUCAAAAGGGAUGAAUUAUACAGUAACCAUAUUCACAUAGGUUCUGAGUGUUGCGAUUGUGACUAUUCGACCUAUCUGGAUGUCGGGUACCAUUGUUAGAUGGUCACUUCGAUUAGUACAAGAAUUGGUUCCUGUGCUACCGGCUUAGGUUCGAACCUGCGGGGUCACACACAUUAGAGGUUCCUAUCUGAUCUGAUGGCUGAUGAAGAGUCCUAAUGCUUGUGGACUAUGAGUCCUACAUAUC
rnacentral:lncRNA from 1 species